UAGAGUGGCGUUUUGGUUGAGCGCAUGGCUCUCUGUAUAGCUAUCGUACGGUCAUUUCUAAAGUUGGUAUAACUAGAGAAGCAAGUGGUCGGCAACAUAAAUCUCUCAAGGGGGUGUCUAGCUUGGUGUUACGGUGUGUUUGACCCUAAUUUAAUUUUACGCCGGAAUAUCCCUUUAAAUGAUCUUGAACAUCUGAACUUCAAUUUUCAACCAGUUUACUUGAAUAAAAUUUUCUUGUCAUAAUUCAAUAUUUUCUGUUUCUUAUCACAGUAAAGAAACCCUCAUUUAUUUUUUUCCAGGCUUAAAAAAAAAAACAUUCAGAUUUUAUCUUGAUGAAACUCGGCUUUGAUGCCUGUCUGUUCCUCCAUCUACAAGGGCAAAGUUAACGUAUAGGAAGUGCUUUGUGACCUCUGCGCUCUUUGCCUGGAGGCAGCCUUUCCUCUGAGCAGCACCCAGCGCUGGAGCUCACCAGCAUUAAUUGCGUGUAGGAGCUCUGCGUUCAGAGAACCCUUGAUGUGAUGGAUGAAUGAAGGGCACAGCGCAGCGCUCUGGGCCCCGAUUGUGUUUCUCUUCAGUCACCACGCUGCCAAUACAAACCUGGACAAGCAAAGACAAACAGGAUGCAGGCCAAUAAGUCACUCUCACUUUUAGGUGAGUCGACCACGGGCACUCGCGGUUACCGACAUACAAGCUAGUUAGACUUUAGAGCGACCCACUCUAUUCACCAAACAAUUCAUAAUGUUUCCUCACAGGCUGCUCACAUCAAUAUUGUUAAUGUACAACUCGGUGACAAAAACUAUCAGUAAUCAUCAGGAGCGAUCGUAAAUGAGGCCUUUUCGCUUUGUAAAACAAUCACACUUGCAACAGUCGGGUCAUGGGCCAAUGUGGAUCCAUUUGGAGUAUAAACAGGAAGAAAAACCAUCCUUCAUGUUCAUGCAUGUGUGAAGUUAUGGUUGAAAAUGCCCGUGACCUCUCCUCCGCCCCUCCCCUUCAUUUGCUUAAUGCACCAAAGGUAAACAAAGAUCCAGGAUCCUGCUUUGUGUCUGUCACCGUACCCCCAUAAAUCAUUAUUGUUUUAUGUAUGCAAUCAUUCCUGUCUUUUUCUAAUGAAGUCAGGGGAAUAGUUCAAUGCUCAGAUAUUACAUUUGAUCUGGAGAUCUUCAAACGUGCGCCCCAUAAAUCCUGAGAUGCAAAUCAUAGACCCUGAGGAUUGCUGUGGUGCCUUGAGGUCUGAGUGCAGUUUUGAUGGGGUGAAAUUCAAAAGAAUAAUCAUGGUUUUGGGGAAUGAAAACUGAAACCGUAGCCAAGCAGGAUCCUCUCUGAAGUGCUUCCGUAUGCCUCCUGAGUCAAAAGGCCUAUGAUUUCACUCUUCAGCU